GCCUCUGUAACUCAGUUGGUUAGAGCGCUGCACCGGAAUCGCAGGGCCGUAGGUUCGAUUCCUACCAGAGAAC
rnacentral:tRNA from 1 species